rnacentral:rRNA from 1 species
AUACGGAGGGUGCAAGCGUUACUCGGAAUCACUGGGCGUAAAGCGCGCGCAGGCGGCUAUUUAAGUUGGAUGUGAAAGCCUACGGCUCAACCGUAGAACUGCAUCCAAAACUAUUUAGCUAGAGUGUGGGAGAGGAAGAUGGAAUUAGUUGUGUAGGGGUAAAAUCCGUAGAGGUAACUAGGAAUACCAAAAGCGAAGGCAAUCUUCUGGAACACUACUGACGCUGAGGCGCGAAAGCGUGGGGAGCAAACAGGAGUAGAAACCCCAGUAGUCC